ensembl:lncRNA
AUGCGGAUUGGGAAGAAGGUCUGCCGUGGAUGUUAUUGGCGAUACGUGAGGUUGUCCAAGAAAGCCUUGGGUUUAGCCCAAAUGAAUUAGUGUUCGGACAUGUAGUGCGAGGACCUACGGCUAUGUUAGCUGAGGAGUGGCGAAUGUCGAAACCUUCUGAAAACAUCUCAGAUUAUGUGAGUGGAUUCCGGCGUAGAUUGUAUGAGGCACGAGCUCUCGCUAAAAAGAAGUUGAGUAAGUCUCAAAUAAAAAUGCAACAACAUUUUGACAGAAAAGCUAAGUUAAGGGAGUUUCAGGUGGGUGAUCAAGUAUUGGCUUUGCUGCCUCUACCUGUCAACCCAUUUCAGGCUAAAUUUACAGGUCCCUACAGUGUAGUUAAACGUCUUUCCGAUAAUAAUUAUCUGUUGAAUACUCCUGACAGGAGAAAAAAAGUACAAGUCCGUCACAGUAACCUGUUGAAAUUGUAUAUAGCUCCUGUUUGUUCUGUUACUGUUACGGUGGUAAACUCUUGUGACUUUUCAGAAUCCUCUCCUCUCUUUUGCAGUACGAGGGGGGAUUCUUUAGAGAAUGCUGAGGAGGAUGAGAGUUUUCUUUCUCAAGCGAAAGUCGACGGGCGACUUAAAAACUCUGAGAUUCUUCUUAACCUGUCCUCUCAUCUUUCUUAUUUGACAGAGAAAGAGAGGAGUGAUGUCACUGAGUUGGUGAUGUCAUUUCCCUCUCUUUUCCUUGACGUUCCCGGUCGUACUUCUGUCAUAGAACAUGAUAUCGACGUAGGAACCUCGUGUCCAGUUAAACAGAACGCCUAUCGAGUCAAUCCUUUUAAAAGAGAUUUGCUGAAACAAGAGGUGAACUAUCUGCUUGCUCAUAAUCUGGCUGAAUCUAGUUUCAGUUCGUGGAGCUCUCCUUGUGUUUUAGUAAAUAAACCCGAUGGCUCAUAUCGAUUCUGCACAGAUUAUCGAAAACUUAACUCCGUGAAAAAGCCGGACUGUUUCCCUUUACCUCGAGUUGAUGACUGCGUCGAUCAUGUUGGCUCUGCCCGUUACGUCAGCAAAUUCGACCUCUUAAAGGGGUAUUGGCAGCUGCCUUUGACUAGUCGUGCUAAGGAAUUAUCUGCCUUCGUUACGCCUGAUGCUUUCCUGCAGUAUACGGUGAUGCCUUUCGGAGUUCGAAAUGCACCCGCGACUUUCCAGCGACUCGUAAACCGUAUACUGUAUGGAAUGUCAGGAUGUGAGGCAUAUCUUGAUGACGUCGUGCUGUAUAGUUCCUCCUGGUCUGAGCAUCUUAACCAGAUUAAAGAAUUUUUUUCUCGUUUAGCAAAGG